UCCGUAGGGGGCACGCGUUGUCCGGAAUCAUUGGGCGUAAAGAGCGUGUAGGCGGCCAGAUAAGUCCGCUGUGAAAUCUCGAGGCUCAACUUCGAGCUGUCGGUGGAAACUGUCUGGCUAGAGUCCGGAAGAGGAGAAUGGAAUUCCUGGUGUAGCGGUGAAAUGCGCAGAUAUCAGGAAGAACACCCGUGGCGAAGGCGGUUCUCUGGGACGGUACUGACGCUGAGACGCGAAAGCGUGGGGAGCGAACAGG
rnacentral:rRNA from 1 species